CGCGGGAUUGGGCCUAAAGCGUCCGUAGCCGGCCUCGUAAAUCCUUUGUGAAAUUGUCUGGCUCAACCAUACAACGUGCAAGGGACACUGCGAGGCUCGAGACCGGGAGGAGUCAGAAGUAUUCCAGGGGGAGCGGUAAAAUGUUAUAAUCCCUGGAGGACUACCUGUGGCGAAGGCGUCUGACCAGAACGGAUCUGACGGUGAGGGACGAAAGCCAGGGGAGCGAACCGGAUUAGAUACCCGAGUAGUCCUGGCCGUAAACGCUGUGAGCUAGGUGUUGCGCCAGCGAUUGCUGGCGCAGUGUCGAAAGGAAGCUGUUAAGCUCACCGCCUGGGAAGUACGGUCGCAAGACUGAAACUUUAAGGAAUUGGCGGGGGAGCACCACAAGUGGUGCGGCGUGCGGUUUAAUCUAACUCAACGCAGAGAACCUUACUAGGGGCGACGGCAGGAUGAAGGCCAGCUUGAAGAGUUUGCCUGACAAGCCGAGAGGUGGUGCAUGGCCGCCGUCAGCUCGUGCUGUGAAGUGUCCAGCUAAGCCUGGCAACGAGCGAGACCUGUAUUCGCAAUUGCUAACAGCCACAUGUGGGACUGAGCACUUUGCGAAGACUGCCUUGGAAACAAGGAGGAAGGUGCAGGCUACGGUAGGUCUGUAUGCCCCGAAUCCCCUAGGCUACACGCGCGCAACAAUGGUUGGGACAAUGGGAUGCCACUCCGAAAGGAGAAGCUAAACCUCUAAACCCAAUCCAAGUCCAGAUCGAGGCUUGCAACUCAGCCUCGUGACGACGGAAUCCCUAGUAAUCAGAAGUCAUCAUCUUCUGGUGAAUAUGUCCCUGCUCCUUGCACGAAUUCGCCGAAUCACUAGU
rnacentral:rRNA from 1 species